rnacentral:rRNA from 1 species
AGUAGGUCCUGCCCAAUGAUUUAUUUAAUGGCCGCGGUAAUUUGACCGUGCAAAGGUAGCAUAAUCAUUAGUAUAUUUAUUGUAUACUUGUAUGAAUGGUUUGACGAAAUAAUUACUGUCUUUUUUAUAUUUUAUUGAAAUUAAAUAUUGAGUUAAAAUGCUUAAAUUUUUUUAUUGGACGAGAAGACCCUAUAGAUCUUGAUUAUUAUUAUAUUGUAUAUAUUUGGAUUAUUUUUAUUAUUAUUAUUUAAUAGUUUUGUUGGGGUGACAUUGGAAUAUAAUUAACUUCUUUUUUUAUCAUACAAUUAUUUUUGAUUAAUUGAUUUUGUUUUAUAUAUUUAAGUUUUAGAUACCUUAGGGAUAACAGCGUAAUUUUUUUUGAGAGUUCUAAUUGACAAGGAAGUUUGCGACCUCGAUGUUGGAUUAAGAUUACUAUUGGGUGCAGAUGCUUAAAUUAGUUGGUCUGUUCGACCAUUAAAGUCUUACA